rnacentral:misc_RNA from 1 species
GAUGAAGAACGUAGCGAAAUGCGAUAAGUAAUGUGAAUUGCAGAAUCCAGUGAAUCAUCGAAUCUUUGAACGCACAUUGCGCCCGCCAGUAUUCUGGCGGGCAUGCCUGUCCGAGCGUCAUUUCAACCAUCAAGCCCCCAGGCUUGUGUUGGGGACCUGCGUCCGACGCAGGCCCUGAAAACCAGUGGCGGGCUCGCUGUCGGCACCGAGCGUAGUAACUAACCUCGCUACGGAGCGGCGCGGGCGCCUGCCGUAAAACCCCCAAUUUUCACAAGGUUGACCUCGGAUCAGGUAGGAAUACCCGCUGAACUUAAGCAUAUCAAUAAGCGGAGGA